rnacentral:misc_RNA from 1 species
AAUUCUCAACCACAGUAGCUUUUGAGCUUGCUUGUGGCUUGGAUUUGGGGCUUUCUUGCGGGCCUUUGUCAAGGUCAGCUGCCCUGAAAUGUAUUAGCCGAACCGUUUGCGGUCAGUCACCGGUGUGAUAAUUAUCUACGCCAAAGACUUAAGCUGCUUUCUGUCUGUUCAGCUUCCAAUUGUCUGCCCAGACAACGCUUGUAC